rnacentral:rRNA from 1 species
AACGUAGGACGCAAGCGUUAUCCGGAGUUACUGGGCGUAAAGCGCGGGCAGGCGGUCUUGCCAGUCUGAUGUGAAAUCUCCCCGCUCAACGGGGAGCAGCCAUUGGAAACUACAAGACUGGAGUCUGACAGAGGUAGGCGGAAUUCCGGGUGGAGUGGUGAAAUGCGUAGAGAUGUGGAGGAACACCGAUGGCGAAGGCAGCCCCCUGGGCUAACACUGACGCUCAUGCACGAAAGCGUGGGGAGCAAACAGG